GUGCUCUCAGCACACAUACUAAAAAAUGAGAAUGAUAUAGAGAAGAUUAGCAUGGCCCCUGGGCAAGGAUGACAGCAAAUUUGUGAAGUGUUCCAUUUUUAU